GAGCGGCGUCACGUUACCCAACGGCUGAGGGGACGGACGUCAGUGGCAACGGCGCCGGCGAGAGUGAUGCUUCUGUAAACUCCACCAAAUACAACGCUGGUGAAUGUCUAGUCGAAGCCAGUUGUAGUAGGUCGUGAUGCUAGUCGAAGGUGGUCGAAGGUAGUCGAACGUAAUAGCUCCGGGGUGAAAAAAAGGCCAGUAGAAAAAAAAGAAUGUCCUUGUUGGUUGAUUUCUGGAUAUUGGUAGAAUCAAGGUAGCUGGUGAUCGCGCAGGGAAAGGUGUUCACGGUAAAAGAUUAAUCAUCAUCUUGUUGAAUGAAUGGGCUCAAGGAGGGGUUGAAUGGCCCGCUCUUGCUCACAAGUGUGACAUGUCUUGCAUUCUGGUCUGAUUAAAAUAAACACUGGGUAGAAGGAGGGAAGAAACUUGUGAGAUUGGGAUCGACUGGCCCACUGCAGACUGCAGGAGUACAUGCUGAGGGACGCACUGAAGCUCGGUGCAGCCAACGCCAAGGCUCAGUGGGGGCGGACCACAGUCUAGAGUCCUUCCGCUGCUGGACAUGGGGGGCAGGGUGUGGUGGAGAUGCCCCUCAAAAAAAAGGUAAGGGAUCCCACACCAGUGGGCCGCAUGAGUGGGGGAUAAAUUUGUGAAAUUUGAGCAAUGUAUGUAGACUGUAUUGAAUAAUUUGUAUAGCCUCCGAAAAUGUUGGAUGAAUUUGUUGCACAGCUCAUGUAUUGUAUAUAUUUAUUACCUGAAUAAAGUCUAUUUUGAAAAAUCUUUGAAAAAAUUGUCAAGAUUGGGAUGUACGAAGAGAGCUCCAAUGUUGCUACAUGAUUUUAGACUUUAGACAUACAGCGUGGAAACAGGCCUUUUGGCCCCCUGGGUCCGUGCUACAAGCAAUCACCCCCAAACACUAACCUACACUCACUAGGGACAAUUGUAUAACUUACUGAAGCCAAUUAAUCUACAAACCAGUACGUAUUUGGAGCAUGGGUAGAAACAGGUACACCUGGACGAUACUCAAGCGGUCACAGGGAGAACGUAUAAACUCCAUACCGACAGCACCCGUAGUCAGGAUCGAACCCGGGUCUCUGGAGCUGUAAGACAGCAACUCUACGAUUGCACCACUGUGCUGCACAUGAUUAAGGUUUCAUUCAGAGAUCCGCUUUUAUCAAUCUUUCUGUUAACUUCUACCAGUUACAAAGACAGAAAAUGCUGGGAAUACCCAGGAACUCAGGUAGCAAGUAUGGAGAGGAAAUCAUUUUGCAGAUCAGAGAGAAGGUAUCCAAUUUGAAAUAUUAACUCUGGUUUUCUCUCUCCACGGAUACUGCCUGACUUGAUGAGUGUUUCCAGCAUUUUCACUUUUUAAUUUAGAAUUCCAGUAUCUAUAAGUACACAUCAUCUAUAUAAAUAAUUCUGAAGACAAUGUUGCUGAUGUAGUUAAUAGGUUUGCUGAUGUCACCAAAAUUGGGGUAGUGAACAAUUACAGCCGAACCUGGCUGAAACUGCGGAAAUGGGCUGAGAAAAAGCAAAUGGAAUUUAACAUGUAUAGGGUUUUGCAUUUCGGAAAGUAAAACCAGGACAGGACUUAUACAGCAAACGGUAGGGGCCUGGAGAGUGCGGUAGAACAGAGAGACCUAGAGGUGCAGAAAUAUAGUUCCCUGAAAAUGUCAUUAGCUGGAAAGGAUGCAGAGAGAUUAAGAAAGAUGUUACUAUGACUGGAGGGCAUGAGUUAUAGGGAGAGGCUGAAUAGGCUGGAUCUAUUUUCACUCGAGCGUAGAGAGGUUGAGGUGUGACCUUAUAAUGGUAGUCAAAAUCAUAAGGUAGAUGCACACGGUCUUUUUUCCCACAGUAGGUAAGUCUAAAACCAGAAGGCAUAGUUUGAAGGAGAGAUGGGAAAGAUUUAAAAGGGGCCGUAUGGGCAGGCGUUUCCACACAUUACAGAGGGUAUAUGGAACAAACUGUCAGGGAUGUUGCAGAGGCAGGUACAUUUACAAUGUCUAAAAGACAUUUGGACAUGUACAUAGAUAGGGAAGGUUUAGAGGGAUAUGGGUCAAAGGCAAAUUAGACUAGCUUAAAUCGAUAAUGAGGUCGGCAUGGAGUGUUUUCAAGACCCAAAUAUAUCGACAAAGGAACAACGAAUUGGCCUGUUAUGCAGCAGCAUAACAGGCCUAUAAACUCAACGCACAGAACAUUUUUAAGGAUAUUUUUAAGGCAGAAAUUUAUAGAUUCUUGAUUAGUACAUGUGUCAGAAGUUAUGGGGAGAAGGCAGGAGAAUGGAGCUGAGGGAAAUAUAGAUCAGCCAUGAUUGACUAGCGUAAUUUUCCUAUAUGAACUGAACAUAAUAUAUAAUAAUUUAAAAAAGCCAACAAAUUCUAGGGUCAUAGGGUCUGUUUCCAUGUUGUGCGACUCAAUUAGCAGCUGUUCAUUAACUGUUGUCAGUUUCCAGGAUUCCAGGACAAGGGAUAAUGUUUUCAAGAAUUGUAGGUUCUUAAAACAACAACAGCCCGUGUGUCCCGUGAGUUCCAGCUCGGGUUCCUUUCCCGGUUGUAUAUUUAUUUCAUUCACAAUUCUGGACAUCGCGUUCCCUUUCAGUUGCGAAAUCGUGACGUUUUCCCAAGUGCGUGUCCAACAGUACAUGCUGU